rnacentral:tRNA from 1 species
GGGCCCGUAGUAUAGCGGUAAUACGCGUCCAUGGCAUGGAUGAAUUAAGGGUUCGACUCCCUUCGGGUCCA